UAUUGGACAAUGGGCGAAAGCCUGAUCCAGCCACGCCGCGUGAGUGAUGAAGGCCUUCGGGUUGUAAAGCUCUGUGGGGAGGGACGAUAAAGGUGGAGAAGAAUACGCUCCGCCCUUGACGGUACCUCCUUAGCAAGCACCGGCUAACUCUGUGCCAGCAGCCGCGGUAAGACAGAGGGUGCGAACGUUGCUCGGAAUUACUGGGCGUAAAGCGCGUGUAGGCGGGCGCUCAAGUCAGGUGUGAAAUCCCUGGGCUCAACCUAGGAACUGCAUCUGAAACUGGGUGCCUCGAGUGUCGGAGAGGGAGGCGGAAUUCUCGGUGUAGAGGUGAAAUUCGUAGAUAUCGGGAGGAACACCGGUGGCGAAGGCGGCUUCCUGGACGACUACUGACGCUGAGACGCGAAAGCGUGGGGAGCAAACAGG
rnacentral:rRNA from 1 species